rnacentral:misc_RNA from 1 species
CAGCAACCAAAAAGUCAUCCUUCGACCAGCAUUUCCAUUGAGUUGUCCAUUUCUAGUGCCGUUGCUAUACCCCAAAGAGUCGUUGUUGUUAUUAGUAUAAAACCCCAAAUUGAGUCCAUUAAGUCCACGAUGAUUGCCAUUGCUGUUAGCAAGCGAAGGAGGCACAAACUCCUCAGCCAUGGGGUUCAGCUUAGAGAAUAAGUCCUGCAGCGCUCUCAUAUCCCUCUCGUAGCUCUCUUUCACAUCCC